UACAGAGGUCUCAAGCGUUGUUCGGAUUCAUUGGGCGUAAAGGGUGCGUAGGCGGCGCGGUAAGUCGGGUGUGAAAUCUCGGAGCUUAACUCCGAAACUGCAUUCGAUACUGCCGUGCUUGAGGACUGGAGAGGAGACUGGAAUUUACGGUGUAGCGGUGAAAUGCGUAGAUAUCGUAAGGAAGACCAGUGGCGAAGGCGGGUCUCUGGACAGUUCCUGACGCUGAGGCACGAAGGUCAGGGGAGCGAAUGGG
rnacentral:rRNA from 1 species